CCUACGGGGGGCUGCAGUGGGGAAUUUUGGACAAUGGGCGCAAGCCUGAUCCAGCCAUUCCGCGUGAGUGAAGAAGGCCUUCGGGUUGUAAAGCUCUUUCGCAAGGGAAGAAAACUUACAUUCUAAUAAAGUGUGAGGCUGACGGUACCUUGAUAAGAAGCACCGGCUAACUACGUGCCAGCAGCCGCGGUAAUACGUAGGGUGCGAGCGUUAAUCGGAAUUACUGGGCGUAAAGCGUGCGCAGGCGGUUUUGUAAGUCAGAUGUGAAAUCCCCGAGCUCAACUUGGGAACUGCGUUUGAAACUACAAGACUAGAAUAUGUCAGAGGGGGGUAGAAUUCCACGUGUAGCAGUGAAAUGCGUAGAGAUGUGGAGGAAUACCAAUGGCGAAGGCAGCCCCCUGGGAUAAUAUUGACGCUCAUGCACGAAAGCGUGGGGAGCAAACAGGAUUAGAUACCCGUGUAGUCAA
rnacentral:rRNA from 1 species